rnacentral:lncRNA from 1 species
AAAGAUCCAAACAUAAUAUCAAGUCAAAUAUAUUUGAGGGGGGUAGAAAGUAAAGAAUGUGCCAAAUAUAAGAAGACUAUCCCCAAGAACGGUCCCCGUAGGCGCUACAUGGGGUGACUCACGGCCGAUGCUUGACAUUGGUGUUCCGUCCACCUACAUCUUCUCCGGCAUCCUCCUCCAAACCAAGGGACUCAAGCAGAUCCCGGUUCUUGUGCUGGGCUCGGAGUAUAGUUCAUCCAAUGAGUAGGGUGCGCUGGCAGCCUCGAUCAGGAGGGCAAUGGAUGUGCUCGACGAUGGUGAGGCAACCACGCGGUGGACUCCGGUGGCUAGCCCGCGAAGGAAGACAUAGGCGGAGAUAGUGCAGGAAUUUUGGGAAGAUGUCGGGUUUCCUACUCAGGCGUCGCCGUUCUGGGAGAGGCGAUCGUCUUCGCCUACAGAGUACAUCGAGGACCACACACGUAAGGAUUCUUUGUCUUGCAGGAGACAGGAAAAGGUCAUGGAAUAUGGUAAGAAGGACCAUUCAGGCGCUGAUCUACCACUUGGCUAACCGAUGGCCGGGCCACCACGCGGGAGAUCUUCCUCGUCUCCAUCCGGAUUGAGGGUGUCACGCCCUCCUAGUAUGGGCGCUUGGAGAAGCCCCUUGCCGCCUCGCCGUGUGACGCUGGCGGUCCUGCUCGGUCAGUUCUUGGACGCGGCCAAGCACGCUCCUGCAGGGGGCCGAGGUGGAUCUCUAAGCCAGAUUCAUCGCCAAGAUUGGAGAGGAUUACGGAGGUGACGGAUCCUGAUGGUUCGGAUGGUGGCCCCAAGCUG